rfam:Gossypium arboreum cultivar AKA8401 contig_14366_1, whole genome shotgun sequence.
UGUUAAAAAUUUCAUUUAUUUCUACUGUUAAAAAUUGAUGUGGUUAAUGGAAUAACUAGAAAGUUACACGUGAUGUGCGACGUGUAUCUCAUGUUGAUGAACAAGGAUCAGUUUUUAACAGUAAAAAAUGAAUUGAAUUUUUAACA